GGGGGGGGGGGGGGGGGGGGGGGGCGGGUGCAGGGCGGGCGGGGGGGGGGGGGGGGGGGGGGGUUAGGGGCGGGCGGGGGGGUAGCACGGGAGCAACCUGCCCCUGACUUCGGGAUAACCGCGGGAAACCGUGGCUAAUACCGGAUAUGACGCGCGAUCGCAUGGUGGUGUGUGGAAAGAUUUAUCGGUUGGGGAUGGGCUCGCGGCCUAUCAGCUUGUUGGUGGGGUGAUGGCCUACCAAGGCGACGACGGGUAGCCGGCCUGAGAGGGUGACCGGCCACACUGGGACUGAGACACGGCACAGACUCCUACGGGAGGCAGCAGUGGGGAAUAUUGCACAAUGGGCGCAAGCCUGAUGCAGCGACGCCGCGUGAGGGAUGACGGCCUUCGGGUUGUAAACCUCUUUCAGUAGGGAAGAAGGCCUUCGGGUUGACGGUACCUGCAGAAGAAGCGCCGGCUAACUACGUG
rnacentral:rRNA from 1 species